AAACCUGUAAAAGUAUGGGAUAAAAAUUACUGCUCAUUCUUCAUCAAAGGAGACGGAUUCUUCCUGUGCAGCACGGCUGAAGAUGAGUCACACCUGUGGCACUAUCAUCUGCCGCAAUCCACACGGUGAAUUCACCCUCGUUUCCGCACUCUUGCUCCAGGAUUCCGCAAAAGUCACCGAGAUAGGACAAAACUGGAUGGUUUUUCAGUCAGAGUGCCAACCACACAGGAACGAAAGACGAGAAAGUGGCCACAUGGGCAGCCGCGUGCUGCGCCGUGUGCCUCCCUCUUCCGUCUCCAGAGCCACAUCAGUACAAGAAUAUUCAACCCCAGGCACCCACUAGAGGCCUCGCGAGACCAUGACACGGAACUGAAAAGGCAACAACAGAACUUACUUUGCCCGCAAGGUAUCCAGUUCAAAACACACCACCAGAUGUUAAACAUGGAGGCAUGAUGGUAUACGUGAAGAAAAGUAAUCUGACUGGUUUUUUUCCGCAAAA